UAAGUAUUAGCAGUGGAACAGCCCAAGCUGCUACUCUGCCAAUGGAGUAGCCAUUCUUUAUUCUUUUGCUUUCUUAAUAAACUUGUUUUCACUUUACUCUAUGGAUUCUCCUCAGAUUCUUUCUUGUGUGAGAUCCAAGAACCCUCUCUUAGGGUCUAGAUUGGCACUUCUUUCUGGUAACAUCUUCCUGGUGACCAUGAAGGGACAACACUGAAGAGAUGCUUGACCUGGAGGAAAUAGACUACAGCACCAAUUGGCCAACUUCGGGUAACUGUUGGGGUACAUUUUACCCAGGUAAAGGAUGGAAUUGGGUUAGAUGCCCAACUUAGAGGAGUCAGAGCUGCUUCUAAGACAGUGCGGGUUAAAGGACCCUCUUAAUAAAAGCUUCCGAGAAACUCAGAGUCAAACUUGAAUUCCACCACUGCAAAGAGCACAGGACCCUGAGGCAAACGUUGUAUAUUCCCAAGUCAUCCCUGGCACCACCUUCAUUUACUGCACCAGGCUUUCUUCACUGUGAUGAUGUUCUCUCUCUCUCUUUUAAUCCUGUUUUACUCUGCACAUUUCUGCAAGCCACAAAAGUACUCCUUGAAGAAUGGAUAACAUAUAAACAAGUGAACAAACAAAUCAGACAGGUGACUUUUGGCCUUCUUCCAAGUGAUGUGCCAUGAAGAACUUCUACUGAGUUCUACAAGAGCAUUCUGGGAGUGUUUCCCAAGACAAAGCUGACUUCUAGGUAGCUAUGGGGAGUGCCUACAAGCCUGGGCUGCAGUGAAAGUCAACAGGAUGGACUGGAAGAGCCAGAAGUCUGUGUGGGAAGUGUCAGCCCCUUCCUGCUGCUUCCUUCCCUUGGUUGGGGUAAAUGCUCCACUUCUUCCUCUGGGCCUCAGUUUUCUCAUCAGAAUAAUGAGAAGAGAUGCUUACUGGUUAGGUCUGCUUAGGAAGAGACAAAGACAAGUAUAGAACUUGCCCUGUAAGAGCAACCCAAGCCUAGCUGACCACAUGGAAGGACAGCUCUCCCUACUUCCAAAUCUUUCCCUUUCUUCCUUUCUCUCUUGCUUGCUUUCCUUCUUUCCUUCCUUCCUUUUUUCUUUCUCUUUCCUUCAUUCCUUUAUUUCUUUCUCUUUCUUUAUGGAGUCUUGCUCUGUUGCCCAGUAUCCAUUCAACUGUGGAUGAACAUCUGGGCUGCUCUCACCUUUUGGCUAUUAUGAAUAAUGUUGUUAUGAACCCAAUGGGUGUACAACUAUGUUUGAAUCCUGUUUUCCAUUUUUUGGGAUAGAUGCCUAGAAAUUAAAUUGCAGGACCAUGAACAUUGUUGUUGUUGUUGUUGUUUUUCUGAGAUGGAGUCUUACUCUGUUGCCCAGGCUAGAGUGUAGUGGCACAAUCUCGGCUCACUACAACCUCCACCUCCUGGGUUCAAGCUAUUCUCCUGCCUCAGCCUCCCAAGUAGCUGAGAUUACAGGUGUGUGCCAUCACACCUGGCUAAUUUUUUGUAUUUUUGAUAGAGACGAGUUUUCACCAUGUUGGCCAAGCUGGUCUCAAACUCCUGACCUCAAGUAAUUUGCCCACCUCGGCCUCCCAAAGUGCUGGGAUUAUAGGUGUGAGCCACUGCGCCUGGCCCAUGAACAUUUUUUAAAGUGUUUUUAUUGCUGAAAAUCUUUUGCAGCCACCAGAGUAGAGUGGACAGGAAAAAAGUCUCAUGUACCCAUCACCCAGCUUCGACCAUUACCAAUUGAUGGCCAAACUUGUUCCCUCCAUACGCUACUCCCUCCACCACCAGAGCUCUUUAAAACAAACUGAAAACAUCAUCUGAUGUUUUCACUCAUAAGUAUUUUAAAGUCUAAUUCUAGCAGAAAUGAUUUAGAUGCUUCUUAAAGAGUAACGUAUAUUGAGUGCCUAAUUAUUAAACACCAAUAUGGGUAAAUACUCAUUGAAUAAUUAGUCAUCAUUUUUUGAAACUUUGUUUAAAAUUGUAGCCUUUUCAAUAAAUAUUUUAUUAUUUUCAAACAUGCUAUAGACUAGAGAAAAUUGAACAAAGAAUCCCAGUAUGCCGUCACCCAGCUUCAAAUUCUAUCCAUAGCAAAAUAAUAUUCUCUUGAAAAAUGUAAGUGCUAGGUUGCUCAGAUGAUAUAAUGACACUUUAUUCCUCUGUAGGAGAGGAGAGGGACUGGAAUGGAAGUGACAACGGGGAGAACCUUUUAAUUCUGGAAAGGUGUAUUACUCACGACUAAAAGCACGUAUUUUAAAAUCACUGAAUCUUUGGUGUAAAUGCACAUGAAUAUCAGUCUGAGUUCUCAGCCACAAUGUGAGUUGUGGUUUAUCUGAGCUCACCUGUCUUUCCUGUCUGGCCCAAGUCCGGGUGACUUUCAGCUUUCCCAAGCUAAAUAGUUAUUUACAGAAAAAACAAGUUGACAUUAAACUAAAGAGAGUGACUCAGAAGUCAUCUCUCCUUUUAUCAUAAGCACAGAAAAUGUGCAGUCACAAAUUGAUGUUGUGCAGAUAGAUGUCCAACUUUUUAUUUAAUUAGGAAUUUGUACAAAUGAUUUUAUAGACAGAGGCCUUUUCCAGUUUCUUUGUCAAUGAUUUCAUCCCUUGGCUUUUAUUGCACAGCAAAUCACUCCCAAAAUUUAGUGGCUUAAAACUCUUCCAUCAUCAUGAUAAAAGAGUUUUCCUUGUUAGAUAUCAAAACCUAUUUGUAUGCCAUUGAUUCUAAGCCAUUUUAUUAUCUUGAAAUGAGGCUGCCUCUAGCAAUCUAUGACAUUGUAUAACUUGUUGUUCACCAGCAAUCAUCAUGACAUUUGUUGCUGCCUUGACAAAAUUGAAUUUCAUCAUGGCUGUUCACAUUAUCAUAACUUCAAUUCAAUUGUGUGGGUGUAUUAGUAUAUGUAUGUGUUGCGUUAAGCAAUCUUCAAGAAGGUUACACUACAAUUAUUCAUGGAAAUGAGAAGUUAUUGUGUAUCUAGAAAGGUGCUGAAACAGAUCAGUUGGGUAGAAAAUUGUUAUUUGUGAAACAAAUGUUCAUUGUUGGAGAAAUGACCUUGAUUAAAUAGAUAUUUCCCUUGCA